AAUCUUGGACAAUGGGCGAAAGCCUGAUCCAGCCAUGACGCGAGUGUGAAUUAGGUCUACGAUGAGUAAAGCAUUUUAGGUUAGGAGAAAGGGCAGUAAGUUAAUACCUUGCUGUUUUGACGUUACCGACAGAAUAAUCACCGGAUAACUUCGUGCCGGCAGCCGCGGUAAUACGAAGGGUGCAAGCCUUAGUCGGAAUGACUGGGCGUAAAACGCGCGUAGGUAGUUUGUUAAGUUGGAAGUGAAAGCCCCGGGAUCCAUCUGGGAACUACUUUCAAAACUUGCAAGCUAGAGUAUAGCAGAUAGUGGUGGAAAUUCCGGUGUAGCGGUGAAAAGCGUAGAUAUAGGAAGGAACACCAGUGGCGAAGGCUACCACCUGGGCUAAUACUGACACUGAGGUGCGAAAGCGUGGGGAGCAAACA
rnacentral:rRNA from 1 species